AGUUUUACAGAAGUCGUUCCACGGUAACUCUGUGGUUAGUGCACAACAUUUCAUGCACAGUCACUUAAAAAUUUAAUCGACAAAUAUGGGGUGUAUAAGGGGAAUUAGACGGAGAAUAUAGCAUGUAUAUAAACGGGCAUAUGCGCAUUCCUGAUAUCCUGAGUUAUAUAUAUACAUGGGCCAAAGAGCCAAUUCCUGACUUGAAGCCGUGUUCCCGGGACGGUUUACGGGGAACCGAUUUAUAUACAUGAAAAUAUUUUUCUCUAAUUCAAAUAACAUGUAAAAUAAGAAUAAUGUGCUUAUAUGCUUUGUGACAGAUUUGGCAUGCACGACAUGUCCUGGAUGAGGUUUUGGUGAUGUAUAUUUGUAUUGUUUGUUUAUAGAAUUUUGGGAGUUGAAAUUUAGAGAUUUACAAUUUGAGAUAUAUGGUAUAUACGAGGGUUUCCUUGUUUGGAUUAUUCCCUCGACGUACUCAUCUCAUGUUGUGGGUUUCUAAAUCUUAACUCCUUUUAGUAUAGGGUAUAAGAUAUGUGCUUGAGGUAGACCACGAUUGAUAUAUACAAUUAGCAAUUUUCCCCAGUCAUCUUUAAUUGAGCUUUCAUCAUAUUUUGGUUUAUAAGAUAGGCAUUUUCUUUUAUCACUGAAAAUUUAGAAUUUAUCUUUUCUUUAUAUCUAUCAUUUAUACUUACACGCUCACAAUUUCCUCAUUUUACAUGCUUGCUGGGAGUUUUCUGACUCCCCUGGGGUUUGCAUGCCCCAGACUUGGGAAUUAUUCUUUCUUCGCAGGAUCAAUGGUACUUUAAGGAUUAAGACCAGCGACAGUGAUCACUUUCUCUCUAUUCACUUUCUCAGCUUCAGCUAUCGAGUCUUUCUUGUAUUCACUUGUAGUAUUCCAGACUAAGAUGUAUUUUCCUCUCCUACUUUGAAGAGUUUUGGACAUACUUGGGAAUUAUUCUUUCUUCGCAGGAUCAAUGGUACUUUAAGGAUUAAGACCAGCGACAGUGAUCACUUUCUCUCUAUUCACUUUCUCAGCUUCAGCUAUCGAGUCUUUCUUGUAUUCACUUGUAGUAUUCCAGACUAAGAUGUAUUUUCCUCUCCUACUUUGAAGAGUUUUGGACAUGUAAGAGAACUUGUCUUUUCAGAAUUUUCUUUAUCUAUCUAGUUUCCUUUGCUAUUUUAGUUA